AGAAAAAAAAAAACGAAAAAAAGGGAAAAAAACAUUCCACUGAACCGUGGAUACAACUCCCACGUUUCAGUUUUAUAAUUUGGCAAUUAAUUUGCUAUUAAGUUGUACUACGAAAAGGAAAACAAAAAGGGGGGAAUUAGAAAGAAAAAAAAAACCUACUCCUAAACCCACUUCUCCCCCUCAUCCCAUUUUCCAUGAACCCUAAAAUUAGGGAUACCACGAUAUGUACUUUUUUCAUAAUGGAGCAGUUAAGAGCCGGCAAUAGAUCACGAUGCAGUGGUAUUUCUUUUCAUAGUUUAUGUUUUUUUCACAUUCAUGGUUAUAUCUUUCAUUAACAGAGGAAUUAAUGGCGGCUCAAAGUAAUUUUAUUAGCGAAAUUAACACCAAGCCGAUGAAUUGGAGGUUAAAGGUUCGCAUUGUCAGGCUUUGGGAAAAACCACUUCACAACAAACCUGAUAGUCCUUUUUCAACUGAGCUUAUUCUGAUGGAUGAAAAGGGCGGCCGCAUUCACGCAAGUGUUGGCAGGAAUAUUAUUCAAAGUUUGAAAAUGAUGAAACAAGAAAUCAAGGAAUUGGGUUUGUACAUCAUGAAGAAUUUCAUGGUUUGUCCAAAUAAGGAGAAACUGAGGACCAAAGACCACAAGUGUAAGUUGAUUUUCACGCAGAAGACCAUUGUUGGGGAAAUACAGGAUCCAUAUUUUGACAUGUGUAUCUUCAAAUUCAAACCCUAUGAGCAGUUGUCUAAUCCAGAGUACUUUGACGACACCGAACUAUUCGAUGUUAUCGGCCAAAUUGUGAGUUAUGGGGACGUACAAUCUAUCAACCAAGAUGGUAACAUCAGGAUGUUCAUGAACGUUGAGCUGCAAGAUUAUAAGAGCAACAACAUAUCUGUAACAUUUUGGGGUGACUUUGUGGAACAGAUCAAGCCACAUUUGAUUGAAUCAAAUGAUAAGCCUGUUGUCGUCGUCAUGCAGUUUGUUAGAGCACAUCGAUUUCGAGAACAAUAUUCAGUGAGGAACACUUGGCACGUUUCCAAGCUUUGGAUCAAUUCAGAUCUUCCUCAAAUUCUUGACUUUAGCUCCAGUGUGUGGAGAAAGCUCACAAAGAAUUACUCAAAUUUCGUCUCAAAAGACUCAUUCUAUUGAAGAUGAAUUAGCAUCUGGAAGUGCUGGAGUUAAAACUAUUGAGGCUUUGAUUGACUCUAAGCAUCCGGGAAACUUCUGGAUUGCAGCAACCAUUGUGUACAUAGAUCUAGAGCAUGGAUGGUCUUAUUUAGCAUGCAAAAUGUGCGCAAAGAAGGUUGAGCCAGAGGGGAAUAAGUUCUUUUGUAAAAAAUGCGG